rnacentral:rRNA from 1 species
UACGGGGGGGGCAAGCGUUGUUCGGAAUUACUGGGCGUAAAGAGCUCGUAGGCGGUGUGUCACGUCGGCCGUGAAAACCUGCAGCUUAACUGUGGGUGUGCGGUCGAUACGGGCAUCACUGGAGUUCGGCAGGGGAGACUGGAAUUCCUGGCGUAGCGGUGAAAUGCGCAGAUAUCAGGAGGAACACCGGUGGCGAAGGCGGGUCUCUGGGCCGAUACUGACGCUGAGGAGCGAAAGCGUGGGGAGCAAACAGG